rnacentral:rRNA from 1 species
UACAGAGGGGGCAAGCGUUGUUCGGAAUUACUGGGCGUAAAGGGCGCGUAGGCGGCCUGUUAAGUCGAACGUGAAAUCCCCGGGCUCAACCCGGGAACUGCGUCCGAUACUGGCAGGCUUGAAUCCGGGAGAGGGAUGCGGAAUUCCAGGUGUAGCGGUGAAAUGCGUAGAUAUCUGGAGGAACACCGGUGGCGAAGGCGCAUCCUGGACCGGGCAUUGACGCUGAGGCGCGAAAGCCAGGGGAGCGGAAACAGGG